AAAACAAAAAACAAAACAGAAUCAUAGGACCAAAGAUCUAGAACUGGAAAGGACCCCAGAGGCCAUUUAUUUCAAAUGAAUAAAGAAACUGAGGUUGUGGGAAGUUUUUCUACUUGCCCAAGAUCAUUCAGAUGAACAGUUGAGACGGCUCUCAAGAAAGAAUGCUGAAAGUCAUCCUACACCUGAAAUUAUGAAUUCCUCUGUUCCUGACACUCACAGACUUCUCCCCAGCAACUAAUUGUCAUGUCACAAACGGAUAAGGAAUAAGACUUGAGGCAGAAACAGCAGGAGCAGAUGAACUGUGAAACCACUGAGAUCCAGUUUCCAUGCAAAUAGCCUAAGUCACAAAAAUAAAAUGAAGAAAAUAUCUUAAAUGAAAAUGAAAUCAUCCAGGAAUAAUGUUUUUUUUCCUUCAGAUUCAGCUAUUUUUUUACAUAGUGAUGUUUAAAAAGUAUUCAAAUAGCCACAAUUAUAAUAGUAGCUAAGGAGAGCUUAAACUAGAAUAAUAGAAUCCUAAAGCUAAAAGGAACUUUGGGAGGUCACCUUGCCCAGUCCCUAGUUUUCAGACAGAACUGAGCAGUGACCAUGCUAUUUUGAAGGACCUCCAGGGAAGGUGAUUGUAUAACCCCUCUCAAUCACAAACCUCCCAUUUCACAGUCCCCACCAUCAGCAAGUCCCUUUAUCUAUCAGUCUUAUAUUCCUCUAGGUGAAUUUUAAGUCCAUCGUUUUUUAUUCAGUUCUCAGUGGACACCCAGCUGUUCCUUUCUGAAUACUGUGUCUCCAAAAGAUGGUAAUUUGUCUAUCUGUGAUAUGCAGAGGUCAGAUUGCUCCUCUGUCAAUAGUUGUUCCUGCAGUGACUUUGGGGAAGGUGAUAAAGGAGCCAAGUCGGGGAAGAUGAGGCCAUUUCUCCUGGAGUCAAAUGAAAAUGAGGACAAUCCAUGGCAGAUACCUCCAGAAAUUGAUACAGAGAAUACUGUCACAUCCAGUAUGAAGGCAUCUCUGCAAAUAUGGUACCCCAUUUCAAUCAUCAAUGGCCAUCAUUCAAUUUAAUCCUCAAAUAAUUAAAUUAUUUCCAAUUAUCA
rnacentral:lncRNA from 1 species